UGGGGAGUGGUGAAUGAGACAGAUUGAAGUGCAGCCAACACUGCAUGGUGCUUCUCGCAAGAGCUGACCCAUUGCUGUUUUUCAACUCUUCUGGAAAAGAUCCCGAAAGAAGAUAACUGCUUGUUUUCUUCACCGCCACCAGUCUACCUGCUCUCUGCACACUCGGCAGAGCGCGGCAGGGCACCCCACGGAGCUGCACUAGUCACAUCCGGGCCCCACGCCGGUCGACGGCCGAUGCGAUGGAGGCACUACUCCGAGCUGGACUGGUGGCCGGCUCGGAGCUGGUGGAUGUCGACCGCGGAGCGGCGAUCUACUCCUUCCACCGGGCCCGGCAGCAGGAGCUCCAGAUGUCCUUGUGCCACCCGUCCGGCCAGGCCUCCAUCCACCUUGUAGAGGCGGAGCGGGAGACGGUGAAGCUCACGGCUCCGUUGGAACAUGGCCGCUGGGAGGCCUGCGGCGCGGACGACGGAUGCGGCAGUUGGUCAAGACACGGCAGCCUACUCGAGGUGCUUCUCGCCUGGAGGACGCAGGCGAAUCGCGUUAUCCGAGCUGUGCCUCGUCAUGGUGCGAUGAGCCUUAAUAGACUAAUGCAUAUUCUUCCUUUGGUUGUAAUUCAUUUGCUGCUGCCCGCUGGGCUAAGGAGUAACUCUGGGCGCCUACUUUGGGCAGACGCUGGUCCAGUGCCGCCUUUCGUUUGCCGCACUUAUCUUUAUUUAUUCUUUGUUACAAUUCCGUCUUUGGUCAUUUUUUUUUUUACCAUGGGGGGCACUUGAAAGUUUUGUUUUUAAAUCUGUGGACAUUGAACCUGGAAUCGGUUUUUUGUCGGAUUUCGGUUUUGUUUUUGCACUGUGGAAAUAUCUCGUUCAAUAUUUUUUUUAAGAUAGGGCGUGCUAAAACUUUUAGUCUCAUUACUCCUCUGUGCAUCUAAAUUCUAAAGUAAUAUAAUGUGCAUCUCAAGUGUUUGGUGCUGUACUGUUAUUAUUUAUGGUUAAUCCAGUGCUGUACUGUUAUUAUUUAUGGUUAAUCCAGUGCUGAUUUAUGGUUAAUCCAGUUUUUAUUCGAUUGAAUCGUUGUGUGUAAUGUGCAUGACAUCCGCGUACCGCCUGUAGCAGUGUUAUAUAUUUUCAUUUAUGCUGGAAAAUAAUAACUUUCUUGUUCA
rnacentral:lncRNA from 1 species